GGCACAGCAGCUCGCCGCCGGGGUUCUUCUCCAGCCCCGUCGUGGAUAACGGUUUUCCAAGUGCAAGAGCUGGAGUUGGAGUUGAUGGUGAGGCUCACCAGGCAAUGAGUAGCUAUCACAAGAAGAUGAAGGCCCCAUGAACUUAACCAGACAAGGAGCCCUCUCUCAGAUAUCUGAAGACGGAAUACCCGACCUCACCAACAAUGUGCAUGGUAUUGGACACGGUGAAGAGAACAUCACUGCCAACAAUGUGGCACGGUCUUUCUCCACCGGGUUCUCAAUCGGUUCAUGGGAGGAUUCAAAUUCUAUUGUGUUCUCUAACCCAGCAAGCAAAGGAGUACAUAACAACGAUGAUAUCAUAGCCAGCCUUAGCAAUUAUGAAUUACAGUUUGGUGCAUUGAAGGAAACGACGGGCAUAGAUAAAUAUCUUCAGAUGCAGCAUGACCAGGUUCCGUUCAGAGUACGAGCCAAGCGCGGAUGUGCCACACACCCAAGGAGCAUCGCUGAGCGGGCAUGCGAUCGAUGAUGUUGCAGGAGCGAAGAACCCGGAUAAGCGAGAAACUCAGAAAAUUACAGGCCCUAGUGCCUAACAUGGACAAGCAAACGAGUACAGCGGACAUGCUGGACUUAGCAGUUGAUCACAUCAGAGGACUACAGAGUGAGCUGCAGGGUCUCAAGGAAGACAAGGAGAAGUGCACCUGCCGCGGCAAUAAUCGCCCAUCAUCAGGGAGAUGACAUAUGCUAAUUAAAAUGGGUUCUUUGCAGUAUAGACGACUGCAUUGCAUUAUGUAUACACCUCAUGACGACAAGAAAGCAGCCGUGCCAGCAUCCAAGGUCCAACCGAUCGAUCGAGCAGACCGGGCGAGAUUUUUUUCGUAUUCAUUCAGUCUAGUGUUUAGCUUCAAGGUAGAAUUAGCCGUACGUUGUGUUGUUUCAUAUGGAUGAGCACAACCGUAUUUUUAUUUGAAGCAGGGUUUUAGGGGGGAUUUUUGAUAUUGCAAGAGGACAUAGGCUCCCUUUAAGUUUGUAAUGGGCUACGUACCACUGUUUCAAGAAUUCCCCUUGUAAGUUCUUCUUACU